rnacentral:rRNA from 1 species
CUGGGCGUAAAGCGCGCGUAGGCGGUUUGUUAAGUCAGAUGUGAAAUCCCCGGGCUCAACCUGGGAAUGGCAUUUGAGACUGGCAGGCUAGAGUAUGGUAGAGGUGAGUGGAAUUUCAGGUGUAGCGGUGAAAUGCGUAGAGAUCUGAAGGAACAUCAGUGGCGAAGGCGACUCACUGGGCCAUUACUGACGCUGAGGUGCGAAAGCGUGGGUAGCAAACAGGAUUAGAUACCCUGGUAGUCCACGCCCUAAACGAUGUCAACUAGGUGUAUGGAGAAAAUAUUCUUUGUGUAUCGAAGCUAACGCGAUAAGUUGACCGCCUGGGGAGUACGGUCGC